GGUCGGGUCCUGCGCAACGGCGUCCCGUGAACCGAGUCAGGGCCGGAAGGCAGCAGCUCUCAGCGG
rnacentral:SRP_RNA from 1 species